CAGAUUGAACGCUGGCGGCAUGCCUUACACAUGCAAGUCGAACGGCAGCACGGGAGCAAUCCUGGUGGCGAGUGGCGAACGGGUGAGUAAUACAUCGGAACGUGCCCAAUCGUGGGGGAUAACGCAGCGAAAGCUGUGCUAAUACCGCAUAAGAUCUACGGAUGAAAGCAGGGGAUCGCAAGACCUUGCGCGAAUGGAGCGGCCGAUGGCAGAUUAGGUAGUUGGUGAGGUAAAGGCUCACAAGCCUUCGAUCUGUAGCUGGUCUGAGAGGACGACCAGCCACACUGGGACUGAGACAC
rnacentral:rRNA from 1 species